AAUCAACGCUGGCGGCGUGCCUCAGACAUGCAAGUCGAACGCGAAAGUUUCCUUCGGGAGAUGAGUAGAGUGGCGCACGGGUGAGUAACACGUGAGUAAUUUACCUUCGGGUGGGGAAUACCAAUCGGAAACGAUUGUUAAUACCGCAUAAUGCAGCGGCAUCAAUGAUGACAGUUGUUAAAGCGGGGGAUUGGAGCAAUCCGACCUCGCGCCUGAAGAGAAGCUCGCGGCAGAUUAGCUAGUUGGUAAGGUAAUGGCUUACCAAGGCGACGAUCUGUAACCGGCCUGAGGAGGGCGGUCGGUCACACU
rnacentral:rRNA from 1 species